GAAGAAACUGCGGCAGACAGAAGUUAAGUGACUUUCCUCACUUCAGUUAGCUAAUUUUUACCAUCACAGAAAAUGCUGCUGUGACUCUCUUGGCUAAUAUGUGACUUCUUUAACCUCCUUGAAGUAUAGGAGCAGAGCUACUUCUGGAUCAAAAGGGAAGUUCACUGUGACGGGACCACAACAACCAAUCAUUGCCUUGGUGAAUGGAGAGGCCACAUUUCCAUGCCACCUUUCUCCCCAGAUGGAUGCCUCGAAUAUGGAGGUGAUGUGGU